rnacentral:lncRNA from 1 species
CCCCCGCUCUUGCCUGACACACCUCACCUUGGAGCUGGGCCCCCCUCUCUUUCCUGACAUACCUCACCUUCCAUCCCUGAGGGACCGGAGGCUGGGGACGGUCGGAGUCUCGGUGCGUUUGUGUAGCAAAGUGGGGUCGCGGAGAAGAGGAGGAGAGGUGGCUUUCUGACCCUAGGUGCUUUACCUGACGCAGCUCACAGCAUCCUCGCAAGGCAUAUCUCUCUGAUGCCCAUUAUCGCCAGGUGUGACAGCUGAUCAUAGAGUAAACACCGAUGACUCCCAGAUCUACAGCUCCAGGCUGUUCCCUUCUCCGUGUCUCAUAUCAGCUUUGCCAACUGUCUAUUGGACAUCACCGCCUGAGUGUCCCUGAGGGACCCCAAAGCCCGUGUACCCCAAAUUGAUUUACCAACUUCCUUCUUGCCAUCUCCCUUGGUCUCUCUCCACACUUGAAACUUACCUUCCAACAUUUGAUCAGUUUUCAUAGAGAGAGAAUGUCAGACAGGUAGAAAAGAAAGCAUUAAAACAUUUUAAAUAUGAAUUUCAGAUGCACAAAUUCAUCAUAGUCCUUGGUUUACAACACACCCUUAUCAUCGAUCCCUGCUUGUCCCUCUUCCUUCCCUUUUCUUUCCCGUCCUAUUAUUUCCUCCCCUUCCCAUCCUUUGUCUUUUUUUUCUUUCCUUUUCUUUCACAUUCGUGAAGCCA